GACGCUUCUCGGCCUUUUGGCUAAGAUCAAAGUGUAGUAUCUGUUCUUAUAAGCCUAAUCUCUGGUACGGUCUCCAUAGGGGACCCAGAAGAUUAAACUGAUUUUUGGAAAAUGACGGAGUGUUAAGGGGCUUGCUCCACCUCUGUUGCUGGUUGACCCGGUAUUACAGUACCUACGGGAACGGCACAAUUUCA
rnacentral:snRNA from 1 species